CGUAGGGUGCAAGCGUUAAUCGGAAUUACUGGGCGUAAGCGUGCGCAGGCGGUUAUGUAAGACAGAGGUGAAAUCCCCGGGCUCAACCUGGGAACUGCCUUUGUGACUGCAUAGCUAGAGUACGGCAGAGGGGGAUGGAAUUCCGCGUGUAGCAGUGAAAUGCGUAGAUAUGCGGAGGAACACCGAUGGCGAAGGCAAUCCCCUGGGCCUGUACUGACGCUCAUGCACGAAAGCGUGGGGAGCAAACAGGAUUAGAUACCCUGGUAGUCCACGCCCUAAACGAUGUCAACUGGUUGUUGGGUCUUCACUGACUCAGUAACGAAGCUAACGCGUGAAGUUGACCGCCUGGGGAGUACGGCCGCAAGGUUG
rnacentral:rRNA from 1 species